rnacentral:rRNA from 1 species
AGUGAACGCUGGCGGUAGGCCUAACACAUGCAAGUCGAACGGCAGCACAGUAAUAGCUUGCUCUUACGGGUGGCGAGUGGCGGACGGGUGAGGAAUACAUCGGAAUCUACUUUUUCGUGGGGGAUAACGUAGGGAAACGUACGCUCAUACCGCAUACGACCUACGGGUGAAAGCAUGGGAUCUUUGGAUCUUGCGGGAUUGAAUGAGCCGAUGUUGGAUUAGCUUGUUGGCGGGGUAACGGCCCACCAAGGCGACGAUCGGUGGCUGGUCUGAGAGGAUGGUCACCGACACUGGAACUUCGACAGGCGCCAGAGUCCUACGGGAGGGAGCAGUGGGGAAUAUUCGACAAUUGGCGCAAGCCUGGUCCAGUCCUACGAAGUAGGUGAAGAAAGCCUUCAGGGUGUAAAGCCCUUUUGUUGGGAAAGAAAAGCAGCAGGCUAAUACCCCGCUGUUCUGACGGUACCCAAAGAAUAAGCACCGGCUAACUUCGUG